GUCAUACUGCCUUCAGUCGCUAUGUUGCGUCACUCAGCAUGUUCAUAUAAUAGACUUCUAGUCUAUUUUGACUCCGUCUAGCUUGUUGCAUAGUGACCAGCUGUCUGUCUGUUGUUGCUGUAAAAUACCCACUCUGAUUGAAAAUGAAUGGCAGCUGGACACUGCCUCUGCCCCUUGUUGUUAGUG